UCAGGCUCGUGUCGUGAGAUGUUGGGUUAAGUCCCGCAACGAGCGCAACCCCUACGUUUAGUUGCUAACAGGUGAAGCUGAGCACUCUAGACGAACUGCCGUUGACAAAACGGAGGAAGGUGGGGAUGACGUCAAAUCAUCAUGCCCCUUAUGUUCUGGGCUACACACGUGCUACAAUGGCCGGUACAGACGGAGGCGAAGCCGCGAGGCGGAGCAAAUCCGAAAAAGCCGGUCUCAGUUCGGAUUGCAGGCUGCAACUCGACUGCAUGAAGCCGGAGUUGCUAGUAACCGCAGGUCAGCAAUACUGCGGUGAAUACGUUCCCGGGUCUU
rnacentral:rRNA from 1 species